rnacentral:rRNA from 1 species
UGGCUCAGAACGAACGCUGGCGGCAGGCCUAACACAUGCAAGUCGAACGAAUACGACCCUAGCUUGCUAGGGAAACGGUUAGUGGCGGACGGGUGAGUAACGCGUGGGAAUGUACCUCAUAGUACGGGACAACAGUUGGAAACGACUGCUAAUACCGUAUACCUUCUCCGGAAGAAAGAUUUAUCGCUAUGAGAUCAGCCCGCGUUGGAUUAGUUAGUUGGUGGGGUAACGGCCUACCAAGGCAACGAUCUAUAGCUGGUUUGAGAGAAUGAUCAGCCACACUGGAACUGAGACACGGUCCAGACUCCUACGGGAGGCAGCAGUGAGGAAUAUUGGACAAUGGGGGAAACCCUGAUCCAGCGACGCCGCGUGAACGACGAAGUCCUUCGGGAUGUAAAGUUCUUUUAAAUGGGAAGAAGACCGUGACGGUACCAAUUGAAUAAGCCCCGGCUAACUACGUGCCAGCAGCCGCGGUAAGACGUAGGGGGCAAGCGUUACCCGGAAUCACUGGGCGUAAAGGGAGCGUAGGCGGUUAUGCAGGUCAUACGUUAAAGCAUUCGGCUCAACCGAAGAGAUGCGUAUGAAACCGUAUAACUUGAGGAUAUCAGAGGAAAAGGGAAUUACCAUUGUAGGGGUGAAAUCCGUAGAGAGUGGUAAGAAUGCCGGUGGCGAAGGCGCUUUUCCGGGGUAUACCUGACGCUGAGGCUCGAAAGCCAGGGGAGCGAACCGGAUUAGAUACCCGGGUAGUCCUGGCCGUAAACGAUGUUCACUAGGUGUAGGAUGUCGACAGGCAAACUGUGCUGAAGCAAACGCGAUAAGUGAACCGCCUGGGGAGUACGUCCGCAAGGAUGAAACUCAAAGGAAUUGACGGGGGCCCGCACAAGCGGUGGAGCGUGUGGUUUAAUUCGAAGCUAAGCGAAGAACCUCACCAGGUCUUGACAUAUAGGUAGUAGGGAAGCGAAAGCGGACCGACUUUAGUUUACUAAAGAGCCUAUACAGGUGGUGCAUGGUCGUCGUCAGCUCGUGCCGUGAGGUGUUGGGUUAAGUCCCGCAACGAGCGCAACCCUUGUUUUUAGUUGCCAGCAUUAAGGUGGGCACUCUAAAGAGACUGCCGUCGAAGAGACGGAGGAAGGAGGGGACGACGUCAGAUCAUCAUGCCCCUUAUGAUCUGGGCUACACACGCGCUACAAUGGGUUAGGCAGAAGGCGAAACUGCAAAGUGGAGGGAAUCCUAAAACUAACCCCCAGUUCAGAUUGUAGGCUGAAACCCGCCUACAUGAAGUGGGAAUCGCUAGUAAUCGCAGAUCAGAACGCUGCGGUGAAUACGUUCCCGGGCAUUGUACACACCGCCCGUCACACCACCCGAGUUGGGUAUACCUGAAG